rnacentral:rRNA from 1 species
UACGUAGGUGGCAAGCGUUGUCCGGAUUUACUGGGCGUAAAGAGCGCGCAGGCGGUCGUGCAAGUCGCGUGUGAAAGCCCCCGGCUCAACUGGGGAGGGUCACGCGAUACUGCUCGACUUGAAGGCAGGAGAGGGAAGUGGAAUUCCCGGUGUAGUGGUGAAAUGCGUAGAUAUCAGGAGGAACACCAGUGGCGAAGGCGACUACCUGGCCUGUUCUUGACGCUGAGGCGCGAAAGCUAGGGGAGCAAACGGG